AGUUGAGCUGUUCUUCCCCUAUUCCAUUAAUCGCCGCCUGGUGGCGCCCGAGAGGCACAUCAAUGGCGACUGCCGGCGCGUGUUUCCGUUCUCUGGGUGGCCUCCACGUGGAGGGUUUUUGAUCAGGCCCAGCUCUGUCCCAGGAUUCUGCAAAUAUUUAGACCUCUCCAGUCACAACAAAUGUGGCAUCCCCAGACAAGGUGGGAAAAGGCCUUUAAAGAAGAUGUCGCCAGACUGACCAGUGGUGAACCAAGGGGCCCUGUUUUUAACAAGAGACAGCACCACUACCACCUCAGCCAAACCUUGGGUGCUUGCCAGCACAGUGCCUGGGCAUUGGCUCAAUGUACGUACAAGCACUUGCAUAAUGUCCUCUCAUACCUUCCUGACAGGAUUAAGUCUACACGGAAGAUCUUGUGUGGAGAGAGUUCCCAUCUCCAGCCCUGGACCCUCCACCCUAGAGAAGACAAAGGAUGUAUUAAUGUGCUUACCUGCCCUAUGUUGUACUAACUGAUUAUUCUUCCUAUGAGUAACUUUCAAGGGCCACCUGACUUUACAUUAUAAUUCUUUCACAGCUGAAAUCUCUUCAGCUAACUUCCCUGGGCAUAUCAGGUUGAUGUCUAAACCCAUUAGACUGAUGACCCACCACUGAAGUUAAUGUCUGUCUCUUGUCCUUCCCAGGAAGGGCGGGAAAUCCCUUUUUGUCUAGGGAGAUUUAGGAUCACUCUGCGUAAAACCCUUCAAGAAGCCCACUUUCCCAAUAGACAGUGUUCGAUAUCUCUGGACAACUCUCUGUCUGUGAUACUGUUCCACAGAGCUAAACAUGGGUUGCUCAGUUCUGUUCCUUGGACCAUUUCACUCCAGGAUGAGGUGACUAUCAUUUCUAUCGCCCCUCCCUUAUCUUCUAGAUCUAUAUCCUAGGACUGUGUAUGUUCUGCAGUUUAAUUGUGUACCCCCAUUUUUAUCCCUUAAUAAAAAUUGUCGCAUUUUUA